AACGAACGCUGGCGGCAGGCCUAACACAUGCAAGUCGAACGGGAUCUUCGGAUCUAGUGGCGGACGGGUGAGUAACGCGUGGGAACGUGCCCUUUGGUUCGGAAUAGCCCUGGGAAACUGGGAGUAAUACCGGAUACGGUCGAGAGACGAAAGAUUUAUCGCCGAAGGAUCGGCCCGCGUUGGAUUAGGUAGUUGGUGGGGUAAUGGCCUACCAAGCCGACGAUCCAUAGCUGGUUUGAGAGGAUGAUCAGCCACACUGGGACUGAGACACGGCCCAGACUCCUACGGGAGGCAGCAGUGGGGAAUCUUAGACAAUGGGGGAAACCCUGAUCUAGCCAUGCCGCGUGAGCGAUGAAGGCCUUAGGGUUGUAAAGCUCUUUCGUGGGGGAAGAUAAUGACUGUACCCCAAGAAGAAGCCCCGGCUAACUCCGUGCCAGCCGCCGCAGUAAAAC
rnacentral:rRNA from 1 species